rnacentral:sRNA from 2 species
CUGUACUGUUAGCUGAAUCCCAAAGGGGAGCGGGGGACAAUACAUGGGGUAAAGGGCGGUCCGUAAGGGGAACCACCCAGGGCAUACUCUCUGCCUGAACAUACUAUCCUCGUAAGCAGAAAGGAGAGUCAAU